rnacentral:rRNA from 1 species
UGGCGAACGGGUGAGUAACACGUGGGUGAUCUGCCCUGCACUCUGGGAUAAGCCUGGGAAACUGGGUCUAAUACCGGAUAGGACCAUGCUAUAGUGUGUGUGGUGGAAAGUUUUUUCGGUGUAGGAUGAGCCCGCGGCCUAUCAGCUUGUUGGUGGGGUAAUGGCCUACCAAGGCGGCGACGGGUAGCCGGACUGAGAGGUUGGUCGGCCACAUUGGGACUGAGAUACGGCCCAG